rnacentral:rRNA from 1 species
GCUUGCUCUUCGAUUCAGCGGCGGACGGGUGAGUAAUGCCUAGGAAUCUGCCUGGUAGUGGGGGACAACGUUUCGAAAGGAACGCUAAUACCGCAUACGUCCUACGGGAGAAAGCAGGGGACCUUCGGGCCUUGCGCUAUCAGAUGAGCCUAGGUCGGAUUAGCUAGUUGGUGAGGUAAUGGCUCACCAAGGCGACGAUCCGUAACUGGUCUGAGAGGAUGAUCAGUCACACUGGAACUGAGACACGGUCCAGACUCCUACGGGAGGCAGCAGUGGGGAAUAUUGGACAAUGGGCGAAAGCCUGAUCCAGCCAUGCCGCGUGUGUGAAGAAGGUCUUCGGAUUGUAAAGCACUUUAAGGUGGGAGGAAGGGUUGUAAAUUAAUACUCUGCAGUUUUGACGUUACCGCCAGAAUAAGCACCGGCUAACUCUGUGCCAGCAGCCGCGGUAAUACAGAGGGUGCAAGCGUUAAUCGGAAUUACUGGGCGUAAAGCGCGCGUAGGUGGUUUGUUAAGUUGGAUGUGAAAUCCCCGGGCUCAACCUGGGAACUGCAUCCAAAACUGGCAAGCUAGAGUAUGGUAGAGGGUAGUGGAAUUUCCUGUGUAGCGGUGAAAUGCGUAGAUAUAGGAAGGAACACCAGUGGCGAAGGCGACUACCUGGACUGAUACUGACACUGAGGUGCGAAAGCGUGGGGAGCAAACAGGAUUAGAUACCCUGGUAGUCCACGCCGUAAACGAUGUCAACUAGCCCGUUGGGGACCUUGAGUCUUUAGUGGCGCAGCUAACGCAUUAAGUUGACCGCCUGGGGAGUACGGCCGCAAGGUUAAACUCAAAUGAAUUGACGGGGGCCGCACAAGCGGGGGAGCAUGUGGUUAAUUCGAAGCACGCGAAA